GACGAACCGUGCGAACGUUGUUCGGAUUCACUGGGCAUAAAGGGCGCGUAGGCGGGUCACCAAGUCCGUGGUGAAAGCCCCCGGCUCAACCGGGGAAGUGCUUCGGAUACUGGUGGUCUCGAGUGGGGUAGGGCAUGCGGAACUUCCGGUGGAGCGGUGAAAUGCGUAGAUAUCGGAAGGAACGCCGGUGGCGAAAGCGACGGGCUGGAUCUCUACUGACGCUGAGGCGCGAAAGCCAGGGGAGCAAACGGG
rnacentral:rRNA from 1 species